UCUAUGUAUAUACGUAAGUGAGUUAGGCGACAAUUUCCCGAAAAGUGGAGGGGAUAAUGUUGGUACCAAGGAAAAUCUCUACACGAUAUAAUUUUAAUUUCUAUAGAUUAGUACCACUGUUUAAGUAGCAGGUUAGUUUAUGUAGCCUUUUUGACAAAUGUGCACGUGUAAAUAAAAAAUAUUGUACAAGUAUAAUAUAUCAAAAUGUAAAUGUAAAAUAUAUUGCAGUAUUUCAUUAAAAUAAAAAUAAGUAAAAAUGACAAAUAAGCGAAAACAUAAAGUACGCAGAACAUAAUAAGUGAGAAUAUAAAGUGAAGGAGUUUUCCAUAUACUCGCAGAAUGUUAAUAGCUGGAAAAAAAUUCUCUGCGGAGUAAGGUUGCCAAAUUCUGUGACUACUGUGUCCUCGAGUGCAUCCUAGUUGUAAGGAAAAGUUGAAAUGACAUUCUAACAUCAAAUAUCUAUCACUAGCAAUGCGAUGACAGAUAGAGAAGAGCAGGAUCAUAAAAUUGAUGUUUACUAUCAUUUUUCAGUGACACUUUCGACAAUAUACUUGAUGUUUAUUAUCA